AGUGUUUAAAAGCCGUGUGUGGGUGUGGGUGAGGGCAGGGGUUGUACUUUCCAAACAUCACAGUCUCUCCCAAACAUCACGGCCUUUCUUUCAUGGUCCUUCUCUUGGUAAUGUCAAAACUCAAAUGCAGGCAGUUUUCUCACGGCCCUUACCGGGGCUGUGUGGUCAGGACAUUUCGGCUGGGACACACGUCUUCCUCGACCUCCCUGGUUCUUAAUCCCAAGCUCUUCUUUAAGAGUGUCCACCCGUGGUGUGACCCUCCCUCAGCUUCCACCCUGUUCCGUGUGUCCCUGGGCUGUCAGGCACCACUGUCCUGAAGUGAUUAGGCAAUGCACCCCUACCCCAUGUCUCUGCAUCUGAGAAUGCAUCCUGUCUGUCCAUCCCCGGUGCGUGGAGGGACAGCCACAGGAACUGCGUGUCCUUAGCGUGACAUGAACUGGUGUCUGGUCUCCCCCUGCUUUGGCAGCAUGUUCUUUCACUCCCCAGCUAGAGAAAUUCGGAUCAGUCAGAUGCUGUCUUCCAUUCAUGGUAUAGAAAAGACCACAUGGGGCAACAGACAUUAGUCUUUACCCAAGACCACGAACGUGGCCAUGGGAUGAUGUCACGACUCCACGUGCACCCCAGCCAUGCACACAGAGACUCACAAAGUGACCUAAAAUACUCUGAGAAGUCAAACCCUAAAUGCAUUUGUUUUGCUUUAAUUUAGAAACACUAAGUUAGUGUAGUGCUUCUGAAUCAAUUAAUUUGGCCAGGGAACUCUUACUGUGGGCAUGGAAGGGUACUGACUGCCCAGGAGCAGUGGGUUCAGAAAGCACUGUGAGAGGCUGGGUAUCAGUCACUUAGCGGAGCCUUUCCUGGUCAUGCUGAGAGAGUCAGGUAGAUCUUUCUGGAAAGACCAUCUGAGCUCCUGUUAGUUCACGUUCUUUUUCAUGAAGAUUGUCUCUGAGACAGACCUGUGGAUUUGCCUAUGGGUGCACACAAGUAGUGAUUACUCUAAGGAUCACAAGGUCAGACUUGGGAAGGGAAAGAACCGUAUCCUCUCGUGUCUUGCGGUGGGGACUGAGCUAGGGAUGGCUUAGACAGGAGGAGAGCACCAUACGACUAACCCACAUUCCUAGCUGGAAAAUAACCGAGUUAGUGUGUUGUGUGGGGGAGGGGGUAUGUGUAAGUAUGUGCCAUGUCCAUGUUCCUAUGCGUGUGUGCAUGUGGUGUAUAUCAGGUAUCUUCCUCAGCCACUCCCCUUCUUACUCUCUGAGACACAAGUCUACAGGGAACCUGGGUCUCACCAAGCCAUGCUGGCCAGCCGGCCAGUGAGCUCCAGAGGCCUGCCUGCCUUCCCCUCCCCAGCACCGGGGUUCCGGACGACACGGUUGAACCAGGAGCUUUGAGGCUGGCUCUUCUUACCUGAGUGCUGGAGGUCUGAACUCGAUCCCCACGUUCAUGGCUUCACCACGAGGCUGGCAGCAUUCUGCCUAUUUGGUGUGCCCUGGUUUUGACUGGGUUUGAAGUAUGGCGACUGGGUAAUAGUUGUGCUAAUCAAUGGUCAUUGUCUGAGCUAAAAACAGAUGGCAGCAAAGCUUCCUGACACUAUUUACAAGUGCUGCUUCAGAAUGAGCAAAACUGAGGAGGCUCUCUAGACCAGCAGGUGAAUUUGUGUGUUAGGAGGUGAGUGUGUGCUUGUGUGCCAACUGCUCUGUGAUACACUCAUUCUCUAGUUCUGCAACCAUCUCCUAGAACUACUUGUUUUAAAGUUGUUUUUAGUUAGAUGUGUAUGGCUAUUUGCCUGCGUGUGUGUAUGUGUGUGUGUGUGUGUGUGUGUGUGUGCGCGCGCGUGCGCGUGCGCAUGCUAUGUUCCAUGCAUAUGCCUGCUGCUCACAGAAACCAGAAGAGGGCAUCAGGUUCUCUGGAACUGGAGUGACAGACAGUUGUGAGCUGCCCUGUGUAUGUGCUGGGGAAUGAACCUAGGCCCCUCAGCUCUUUGUGAGCCCUCCCUCAACCUCUGUGUCCUGGAAUUCUUGGCAAGGGCUUUGCGACGAGGCAGGAGUUGGACAGCAGCACACCCAGGCUCCCGCUGACCCUGAAGUAGGCUGGGGCAUUGGGUACCACCUCCAUUCCAUUUCACCAAGCUCCCCACUCACUCCUGUGCAAAAGCGUGUUUGUUUUGUUACCACAGUCUCAUUCAUCUUGAGCUGAUGCAGAGAAGACACGGAAUGAACUUUGGUGAGCUGAGGAAGUGGGUGUUUUCUGUGUUUACUGUUGCCUUCUUCCAUGAGAUAAGGUCCACCCAGGCAGGGGAGGACUGGGCCACUUCUCUCAGUUAACCAGGCAUGUGUCUCCCUGAACUAAUAUUAAAAGUCCCAUAUCUGCUCUCCAUCUGCCAUCCCAGGACAGCUCUCUCAUGGUCAGUGAUUGUGACUUACUCAAUUUUCUCUCCCCAUCAUUUCACACCGCCCGGUGCUGAGGAUAUCAGUAAACUGCUUCAGGUGAGUGAGUAAGAAGAAUGAAACCCAUGACCUUGUGUGGUAGGCGGACACGCAAAUAAACCCGCUAAGAGUAGAGUGUCACAGCAUUUCACUGUGGUGAGAGAGAAGCCUCCGAGCUUCAGAACAGAACAAAAGCUUUAAGCGAGUGAUUGCUGGGUCAGACCUGAAAGUUCCACAGAGAAAGUGACAGUCAAGAGCUGCAAGGGAGAGCUAAGAUGGUAGAAAGAUGUCAAAGCUGGGGGAAAACACACAUACACAUACAUACAUACAUACACACACAUUACAUAUAGCCCAUUUGUGAGGGUGAGAGAGGACAAUGUUAUGGCUAAAUCAUACCAGGAAGGAUUGUGAAAAGAUGCGGGAGAGGUGAGUUCAGAUACAAAAUAAGAAAGAAAGAUGGUGACACAGUCGUUAAGGAUUGUAAACGCCAGUGGACAACCGAAGGUGAGACGGAAGUUUUCCCAUCAUAUCCAACUCUCGGCUAAAAUUCUAAAGUUAACAGUAAUAUGUCACAGAUAUGGCAAAUUUUAAAAUGCAGUGCUAGAUAGAUUUAUGGCAUAUUUUCCUCAGAGUCUGCGGAAGUUCACGCCAUCACCAGGCUGGAUAGACAAGUGUUAGGUAUUGGUUGAGAAGAUCCUUUGGGGAGAUGGAAGUGACUGCAGUAGGGAAUGGCCCGAGAUACUGGGGUAUAUCCGCCCCCACUCACAUGGAGGGGACCCCAAGAGAACGCUGGUCUGGACUCAUUUCCUGGAGAUGAGAUCUUAUUCUGAAACCCAGUUCAGAUGCUUACAGAAGGGACUGGCAGGCCUUCCCAGGACAGCCACCAUGGUAGAACUCAUGAAGCUUCCAUGUAUGCCACGGGCAUAAGUCUGAGGGACGUGUGAUGGAGAGAGAAGCCAGCCUGCUGGAAGCUGCAAUGAAGGCAAGACAGAAAGAGAGCAGCACACGGCCCACCCAGCUUAAGCCCCACUGACGGGAUGAGGGAUGGAGGGAUCACCUUACAGGACGUGUUUGAUAGCCAGCAAAGAGAGACGGGCCCAAAGGCGUUGGAGUUUCAAAAUAAUGUGCCUGCUUCAUCUCAAAUACCAACUCCCAACUCCGAGGCAUGUACGGUUUUUUCUAUCAAGGCUCCCUGUGGGAAGUCUGUUGUGUGUCCUGCUUCUGAGUAAAUCUGAAAACAGCAACGGUGCGUGUGAAGGAAGGCGUCUUGGAGAUGAAGGGCAGCCUCAGACAGAAGAUGCACUUAAGCUUAAGCCUUGCUUAUCAGGAUAACAGUUUUUAAUUAAAUAUUUUAGACUGAGGGUGAGUGUCAGGAAGUGACGCGCAUGUGUGCUUUCUCCUCGGGCAUCAAUGCUACCGCCGAGGAGCCGUCCGAUCCAGUCUCGCUCGGAGAGAGUGGACAAUGGUCUGUGUUCCUCCAGCUGGCUUAUUUUACAAGCAUUAGGGAACAAUUAGGCAGCGCCGGCACCCUGUCCCUCUGUAAUCCUGCGGUAGGACCACUGAUCCCUACCAGCAGCAGCUAAUGAUGAAGGUCUCCUAAGCCCGGCUUCUCAGCCCAGCCAGCUCUUAACGCUUGCAUAAGUAUGCUUUCUGAGGACGGGAGCCCCCUACUGCUGUGCGGCCCGGGAACAAAAGCCCAGAGACAUUUCUGAAGCGCUGCUGUUCAA